CUUAAACUGCUGUCGAUAGGCGUAUACAACAGGAAGGGACACCGGGGAGAAGUUGGCGGGACAGGCUGAUCUCCAGAACGGAGAACAGCGCGCUCCCGUGCCGUCCGCAGCUAUGCGCGCCCCCAGCUGUCCGCCUGGAAAGAUGGAUGGGCCUAUUUACAUCUUCACAGCAAUUGUUGUCUCACCAACCCCACAUUUCAGAAUGACUGUGCUGGAAAACAGGGAUUACCUCGUGCUGCCAAUCAGCCAAUCAAAACGAGCGAUAUAACGGUGACGCCCAGCGCAUCUCACUCAACGGGCUGGUGAGCCCACCUUUCUGAGAACACUUGGACAAAGGUAGUCGGGAAUUUCCAUGAGUCAUCAAAUAAGAUUGGUGUGAAGGUGGUUGCUGAAGGACAAUCAGGAUGUCGCGCUGUCGGGGGUGUACAUCUCCGGGCUGUCCACGUGUGCUUGGCGGUGGGCUGAUCCACUGGUGUUCAGUGGGAAUCUGUGUUCAGGGUUACUGUGUUGAGCUGUACCUGCGGGAAAGCUAUAAUGUGGACACGCUGUCCACAAACAGGCCAUCUGGGGGCAGCAGAGAGAGAGGGUCACGUCUGCAGCCAUUCAUGUAAACGACACCUUCAGGUAAUACGGCUGUAAUUCAUUCAUUCUUCGUCCUUCCCUUGUUUCGACUAUGUGGGCAGGGGGCUGGGAUUAGAGGCCGGGA